CAUUUUUCUUUCUUCUCUCUCUCCCUCUCUUAGCCUAAUAAGAAGAUUAUAGUUGGUGCUUCUGUUGAAGUCCCAGAGUGUCCUCCUCAACCAAACUGCACAAGAGGAAAGGUCAUGACGAGUGGGUGGGUCAUCGAGCCUUAUCGCUAUAAAGAAAAACUACUCACACAAGUCACGUAUCUUGUGCAGGUUGAUAUGGGAGGAGUACCAGCAACACUGGUUAAUAUCGU